CGUGUAGGCGGUCAGAUAAGUCUGGUGUGAAAGCCCUUGGCUUAACCAAGGAAUGUCGCUGGAAACUGUCUGGCUUGAGUACGAGAGAGGAGAGUGGAAUUCCCGGUGUAGAGGUGAAAUUCGUAGAUAUCGGGAGGAACACCAGUGGCGAAGGCGGCUCUCUGGAUCGAUACUGACGCUGAUACGCGAAAGCGUGGGGAGCAAACAGGAUUAGAUACCCUGGUAGUCCACGCUGUAAACGUUGGGCACUAGGUGUAGGAGGUAUUGACCCCUUCUGUGCCGAAGCUAACGCAUUAAGUGUCCCGCCUGGGGACUACGGCCGACAAGGUUAAA
rnacentral:rRNA from 1 species